GUUCUCCAAACCCGCGCUGCGGAGUGAGUGACCAAGUUCCGGCCAGUUCGACCUCGAGGAUCCAGAGGUGGAGACGGUACUACCUCCCAGCUCUGGUUUCCAUCCCCUUCAGGUCCUUCCUCGGGAGGCGGCGAAGGCGGUCCAUCCUGCGCGUGAUCCUUUAUGCCCGGCCCCUGCCCCUCCCUCCGGGUGGAACUUCCCCCUCACCGCCAGACUUAAGCUGAGGACUGUUGGAUCUCUGGCGGGGUGCAGAACUGAGCCCAGGCCACAGUACCCUAUUCACGCUCUGUGCUUGUGCCAAGGUAAAAGCAGCUGUUAAGUAUGCCCUUAGUGUAGGCUACCGCCACAUUGAUUGUGCUGCUAUCUACGGCAAUGAGCCUGAGAUUGGGGAGGCCCUGAAGGAGGACGUGGGACCAGGCAAGGCGGUGCCUCGGGAGGAGCUGUUUGUGACAUCCAAGCUGUGGAACACCAAGCACCACCCCGAGGAUGUGGAGCCUGCCCUCCGGAAGACUCUGGCUGACCUCCAGCUGGAGUAUCUGGACCUGUACCUGAUGCACUGGCCUUAUGCCUUUGAGCGGGGAGACAACCCCUUCCCCAAGAAUGCUGAUGGGACUAUAUGCUACGACUCCACCCACUACAAGGAGACUUGGAAGGCUCUGGAGGCACUGGUGGCUAAGGGGCUGGUGCAGGCGCUGGGCCUGUCCAACUUCAACAGUCGGCAGAUUGAUGACAUACUCAGUGUGGCCUCCGUGCGUCCAGCUGUCUUGCAGGUGGAAUGCCACCCAUACUUGGCUCAAAAUGAGCUAAUUGCCCACUGCCAAGCACGUGGCCUGGAGGUAACUGCUUAUAGCCCUUUGGGCUCCUCUGAUCGUGCAUGGCGUGAUCCUGAUGAGCCUGUCCUGCUGGAGGA
rnacentral:sRNA from 1 species